UUAUCGGAGAGUUUGAUCCUGGCUCAGGACGAACGCUGGCGGCGUGCCUAAUACAUGCAAGUCGAGCGGACAGAUGGGAGCUUGCUCCCUGAUGUUAGC
rnacentral:rRNA from 2 species